AACGAACGCUGGCGGCAGGCUUAACACAUGCAAGUCGAGCGAGGACUUCGGUCCUAGCGGCGGACGGGUUAGUAACGCGUGGGAACGUGCCCUUCUCUCUGGAAUAGCCCUGGGAAACUGGGAGUAAUGCCGGAUACGCCGGAUCGUCGUGAGAUGGUCUGGGAAAGAUUUAUCGGGGAAGGAUCGGCCCGCGUUGGAUUAGGUAGUUGGUGGGGUAAUGGCCUACCAAGCCGACGAUCCAUAGCUGGUUUGAGAGGAUGAUCAGCAACACUGGGACUGAGACACGGCCCAGACUCCUACGGGAGGCAG
rnacentral:rRNA from 1 species